GCGAGAUGCGAUGCUGACCGCCUUCCUCCUCCGGAAAUCAUCAGCAGGGGACAAGAUACAGAACCCCGACGAAAUUGGGAAAAUCAAGAGAGAUGUGAUAAUUGAAUAUUGUCAGAAAUUAACCCACCGUAUGUCUCACCAUGCACUUCGAGGUCAAAUCCUGGUGUACUGC